rnacentral:rRNA from 1 species
CAGCAGCCACGGGAAUACGUAGGGUGCAAGCGUUAAUCGGAAUUACUGGGCGUAAAGCGUGCGCAGGCGGUUAUAUAAGUCAGAUGUGAGAUCUCCGGGCUCAACCUGGGAACUGCAUUUGAGACUGUAUGGCUAGAGUGUGUCAGAGGGGGGUAGAAUUCCACGUGUAGCAGUGAAAUGCGUGGAUAUGUGGAGGAAUACCGAUGGCGAAGGCAGCCCCCUGGGAUAACACUGACGCUCAUGCACGAAAGCGUGGGGAGCAAACAGGAUUAGAUACCCCCGUAGUCCCUGUCUCUUAUAC